AGAGGGAACCCGGUGCGAGUCCGGGACUGUCCCGCAGCGGUGAGCAGGAACGACCGCCGUCACCAAGCACUGGUCUUUGCGAAAGAUCGAAGACUGGGAAGCGACGGCCAGUAGGAGCACCACCCGGUGCGCGCCUGCGAGUCCGAAGACCU
rnacentral:ncRNA from 1 species